rnacentral:rRNA from 1 species
GACGAACGCUGGCGGCGUGCCUAAUACAUGCAAGUCGAGCGAAUCAAUACGAGCUUGCUCCUGUUGGUUAGCGGCGGACGGGUGAGUAACACGUGGGCAACCUGCCUGUAAGACCGGGAGAACUUCGGGAAACCGGAGCUAAUACCGGAUAAUCCUUUUACACUCAUGGGGGAAAGCUGAAAGUCGGUUUCGGCUGACUCGUACCGAUGGGCCCGCGGCGCAUGAGCUAGUUGGUGAGGUAACGGCUCACCAAGGCGACGAUGCGUAGCCGACCUGAGAGGGUGAUCGGCCACACUGGGGCUGAGGCACGGCCCUAACUCCUACGGGGGGCAGCAGUAGGGAAUCUUCCGCAAUGGACGAAAGUCUGACGGAGCAACGCCGCGUGAGCGAUGAAGGCCUUCGGGUCGUAAAGCUCUGUUGUUAGGUAAGAAUAAGUAUCGGAGUAACUGCCGGUACCUUGACGGUACCUAACCAGAAAGCCACGGCUAACUACGUGCCAGCCGCCGCCGUAA